GAUGAAGAACGUAGCGAAAUGCGAUACGUAAUGUGAAUUGCAGAAUUCAGUGAAUCAUCGAAUCUUUGAACGCAUAUUGCGCUCUCUGGUAUUCCGGAGAGCAUGCUUGUUUGAGUAUCAGUAAACACCUCAACUUCCAUAUCUUUUUUGAAAUGGGAGUUGGACUUGAGUGAUCCCAACGCGUUUCCUCACCGAAAAGUGGCGGGUUACUUGAAAUGCAGGUGCAGCUGGACUUUUCUCUGAGCUAUAAGCAUAUCUAUUUAGUCUGCCUAAAAAACAGAUUAUUACCUUUGCUGCAGCUAACAUAAAGGAGAUUAGUUCUUGUGCUGACUGAUGCAGGAUUCACAAAGACAGGCUUCGGCCGACUUUGUAAACUCGAUCUCAAAUCAAGUAAGACUACCCGCUGAACUUAAGCAUAUCAAUAAGCGGAGGA
rnacentral:misc_RNA from 1 species